AGGCAAUAGUUUCAUCCUUACUAGGCAACUCCUUUUCAUGAGGUUGUCUACCAAACUUGGAGAAAUUGAACUCGUGGGACACGCCUUCAAAGCCAACAGUGACAGUUUGCUUCUCACAAUCAAUAUGAGCACUGACAGUAUUGAGAAAAGGUCUACCAAAUAUGAUGGGACAAAAGCUAUCUUGUGUGGUAGCAAGAACGAGUAAAUCAGCAGGAUACUUCGUUUUACCACACAAGACUUCAACAUCCCUAACAAUUCCCACAGGGCAAAUAGUAUCUCCAGUGGCAAGCUGAAUAGUGACAUCAAUGGGUUCUAUCUCAACAGGUGCAAUAUCAUCUUUAAUUUAAUCAUAUAAGGAUUGAGGUAUUGCACUAACA
rnacentral:lncRNA from 1 species